UCUUGGUCAUUUAGAGGAAGUAAAAGUCGUAACAAGGUUUCCGUAGGUGAACCUGCGGAAGGAUCAUUAAUGAAUUAACUUGGGGGUUGAUGCUGGCUUUGAUGCAUGUGCUCGCCCUCAUAAUUCUAUCCCAUACACCUGUGCACAUCUUGAAGGUUCGAGGGGAUGUCUCCUUGACCUUCUUCUUACAAACUCUUUCCUAAUAACCGAAUGUGAUUGUGCCGAAAGGCCGUAAACUUAUACAACUUUUAACAACGGAUCUCUUGGCUCUCGCAUCGAUGAAGAACGCAGCGAAUUGCGAUAAGUAAUGUGAAUUGCAGAAUUCAGUGAAUCAUCGAAUCUUUGAACGCACCUUGCGCUCCCUGGUAUUCCGGGGAGCACGCCUGUUCGAGUGUCGUGAAAUACCUCAAGCUGGAUGCUUUGUUGCUAUCUUGGCUUGGAUUUGGAUUUUGCCGCGCAUGACUUAUGGUUGUGGCGGCUGGUCUUAAAUGCAUUAGCUGACCCAUGAUGUAUCUUUGGUUCUACUCGGCGUGAUAAGUUAUGACCGCUGAGGACAUCUGCUUUUGGGCGGAUGGCCAGGAGUGCCUUGGAUCGCUUCCAAUCUGUCUGUCCUUUGCGGCGACAACCUUUCAACAUUGGCCUCGAAUCAGGUGGGACUACCCGCUGAACUUAAGCAUAUCA
rnacentral:rRNA from 1 species